rnacentral:rRNA from 1 species
CAGUCGCCGCGGUAAUACGAGGGGGGCAAGCGUUGUCCGGAAUUAUUGGGCGUAAAGGGUGCGUAGGCGGUUUGACAAGUCAUCUGUGAAAUCUAUGGGCUCAACCCAUAGUCUGCAGGCGAAACUGUCGGGCUUGAGUAUGGGAGAGGUGAGUGGAAUUUCCGGUGUAGCGGUGAAAUGCGUAGAGAUGUGGAGGAACACCAGUGGCGAAGGCGACUCUCUGGUCCGUAACUGACGCUGAGAAGCGAAAGCGUGGGGAGCGAACAGGAUUAGAUACCCGCGUAGUCCCUGUCUCUUAUAC